UAAAAUAGUGAUUUAAAGAUGUAACUUAAUGAAAGUUUUCAACGGUAUCUCCUUUAGUGGCAGAAAAUUCAAGGAUAUUUUUAUAGUUUUGUCUUUUCAAAAUUAAUGUUCCAAAAUAAGUAUAGAAAAUCCGAAAGCUUUAGUUCUUAGCACCAGCCCUGCAAACCCUUAUUCAUGGAAACUGUCCUUACUUAUGUGAGAAAUCCCAUUGGAUUCAAUUGAAUUAAUUUAAUGAUUAAGGACUUGUCUGAGUAAAGUUCUGCAGGAUUAAACUCAUGGAGCCACUUCAAACUCCCACUGUAAUCAACUGGAAGACUCCCUUUGAUUUUAAUGGGAAUUGAAUCAGACCAGAAGAGAUUUAAAUGGCUAUCAUAAUUCUCUGACAACAAUCUUAGCCGUGCCUAAAAUACAGUUUGACUGUGUGUUUGGAGUCAUUUUCAGGCAUGUGGAGGGUGGCGCUUACAGGCACUAGCUGUACCUCCAAUAGUGAUAGAACAUCAAAUAUUUCAAGUUUUAGCGCAUAUAAGCACCCAGAAGUUUGAAAACCAAUCUGAAAUUUAUCUGAACUAUGUGGAAUCUGCAAAAUUGAUUGGAAAUCUGCAGAGGACAAGGAUUAUGUACAUGAUCCUGUAUUUGCAGGCAUUUCCUUUCUUAUGGACUAGUCACAAUGGAGCUAACCUUAAGAGGCUUUUUGUUUGUUUAUUUUUUGUUUUUUUUUUAACAUAAGUUCUUGUAAAAAGUUAUAUAUUAACAUGAUGGGCUAAGCACAAAGGAAUCUGCAAGUAUCAGAGCUGGGACUACAUAACCCCCUUCCUCUCCAUAACGGAUAUAGUGCGCGAGUGUGAAUAAGAAGGGGACAUAGCUAGAGCAUGUUGUACUUGACAAUCCUCACUUGGGGCCAUUACAGCUGGAUACAAAUUGGAACAGUACUAAGGCUGCUCAAAAUUAUACCAGAGACCAGACUGGUAACUGUGACCCAAAGACCUCUUGAUGCCAGUAGGCAGAGGACACAGGGGUACAUCGGGAUACAAGGAUCCCCUGGGUUCACCAAAAACAUGUCAUGUAAGUUUUCUAAUGAAAGCCUGUGUCACACUGGUCAUCAUAGUCAUUGUGAGAUGUAUGCACAGCAGAUAUGUGGGGAGUUAUGUGUGUAUGCAGAAAAUUAUGUUUUGUAGGCCUUGUAGUUAAAGGCAGAUUACUCAAAGGUUGCAUGCUGUGAGACAAACUUGUCCAGACAGGAGGUGGAAGACACUUAUCUCCCUGGUGGACCGAUAUGUUGUGUAUCUUAUAAUAGAAGUCUAUUAACAUACUAUGUCAAAUAUUAAUGAAGAGCUUGCAGAGACUUCAGAAGGAAAUUAAUAGGAAGAGGUAAACAGGAGAUGCAGGUGAGAACUCUAUUUUCAGGUGAAGAUCAAAGGUUUGGUCUGGUAUAGCUGGGAGUGUAGAGAGACACUCUGGCAUCCUUCAGGCUGUGAAGACAAGCUGACAAUGGGCUUGAUCUUAUGAAAGGAGAAUCUCAGCCAUGCUGGUUGAAAAUGCUGGGAAAAACUUGGGGUAAAGUAUCUUCUAGGAGACAGUGAAUCUCCUGUGAGAAAGUGUCAUAUGAUUUCAUCUGAUGUGUAACCAUUUGUUUCCAAUAUUCUGAUUGGCUAUCUUUUAAAUCUGUUUAGCAUCCGACUAAGGCACCUUUCACAAGUACAUCAUAUAAAAAACUAAACAUGUAAAGCAAAAUCUCCAUUGAAUUACUAAAAUCAACUACUCUAUAACAAAUAGAGGCAGAAGGCCCCAAACACAGUUUACACCCUUUAAUCCGGCUGCUAUCAAGCCAGUGCACGUCUGUUAUCUAACUUAUAUUCUUGGCAGCAAAGCUAGAUGGGCUUUCUCACACUGAUUAGAUGUCAGUACAGGCUCUCUCUCUCUCUCUCUAAAAGCAUACACUGCUAUAACAUACCUGCCCUAUAAAUUCAAAAUGUAACUACUACAUCAACCAUCACUUCUUAGAACAUCAAAACCAAGUAACUCUCUGUUCAUGAAGUCAGAAUUGAAAUAUCAAAUGAACACAAAGAUUAUUGAUACCCAGUUAAUCCUACUGGAUAAGAUGCAAGAAACUCCAGAGGGAAUAAUUAUUGAUUAGUCUGCCCAUAGGGAAGAUUUUCUUGCUAAUUUAGUGACUGCUUUAUGCCCUGAAAUGUAAUAGUUUGUAUCAUUCAUUCAUCCAUCCAUCCAUCCAACUACAGAAAUUCUCACCAUCUGCAUUCUGCUAAGCUCUUGGACUCAAUGGGAUCUUGUAGCAGUGAGUUUUACAGGCUAAUGAUGUAUUGUGUACAAAAUUAUUUCUUUUAAUCAGUUUGAAAUUUGCCACUUAAUUUUCAUUGACUGUUCACCUUGUUCUUGGAUUGCCAGGAAAGCUAUAAAGAAACAUCUACCUUUCUUUCUAUUUUCCAUUAAUUAUUUCCUGCAACUCUGUUAUUUAUUAUUUACCUGUUUUCUAAACUAACAGUCUCAAUCUUUUCAAUCUCCCUUCAUGUGGAACUUUCUCAAUGCCUCUAAUCUUAUUUCUUCUUUCUGAACUCCUAUUUCCACUAUAUCUUUCUGAGAAAGGGUAGUCAGACAAGAACACACUAUGCCAGAUUUUCACCCUUGAGGCAUGUUGGAAGGAUAGUGUGAAGAGACUGGUACUGCCACUGGCCAUGAUGAAGAAAAGGAAGAAUGGUCCAGUUUUUAUGGUGUUAACCUGGACUCCCUGCUCCACCACUGACUUCCUGUGUGACCCUGUACAAGUCACUCAGUCUCUCCUUUCUGUGCUUCAGUUCCCUGCCAUACGUAUAAUAGCACAUCCCCACUGCGCUGGCCUAUUGUGGGGAUAAAAGCAUUAAAGACUGUGAGAUAAUCAGAGGCUCCUGUGGCAAGGGCCAUAUAAGUGCCAUUGAGGUAUGUGCCAAGGGCUAACAGUGACAGCUGGAAAGGAGGUGAAAGCCAUCAAUGAAGUCUCUGUACCAGCGUCUCAGAAAGUGGCUGUAUUUCCAAAUUUGUAGUUUGAAGAUUUUAAUCUUAACUGACAGAAUAAUUCAUAUUAAAAACAUUAUCUCAGCUAGGUUGACUUGUUCUGCACUGAAAUUGGCAAAUUAAUUCUCUAAUGGCCUUAGAACAUAUAGCUAUUAUGCUUGUGCUUAUAGAACCAGUGUGCUAUGCUAGUGGGAAAUAAUGCCACCAAUGAAUAUGAUAAGUAGCAAUGACACAACAAUCUAACUUUCUUCCUAAGUGAUUAUUCUUAACAUGUAAAUAAUGAAAUAGAGUCUCAGCUGGUAUAAAUGGGCACAUCACUGUUUACUGGCUCAAAAUGCUGAAAACACUUGAUUUUGGUGACACCGGUGAGAAUUCAUUCACUUUGGGUGGAAUUUUAAAUAUCUACACAGAUCUUUUGCCUAGCAGCAGUGAUACAGGCUAAUAGAAUGUUUCAUCCAGAGAAUUCUCAAUUAGAGUGAUUGUGUGUACAUAGGUGCUGGAACUAGAGGUGCUUGGGGUGUUACUGCACCCCCUGGCUUGAAGUGGGUUCCAUCAUAUACAGGGUUUACAGUUUGGUUCAUUGGCUUCCAGCACCCCCACUACCACCACCAGAGCCUUUAUGUUUUGAGCUGCAUGUUAUAAAACUCACUAUCACUGAAUCUAAUAUGAGGAAAUUAGGAGAGCUAAAGAGGCAGUAUAGCCUAAUGGAUAGAGCCCUGGUUGGGACUCAGGACACUGGAAUUCUAUUCUCAGCUUGGCCAAUGGCCUGAUGGGUAACUGUGGGCAAAUCACGUCACCUCCCUUUGCCUCAAUUUCCCAAUCUGUAAAAUGGGGAUAAUAAUAUUUACCUCCUUUAUAAAGCACUAGUGUAAGACAUAGGAGGUAUUAUUAUUAUUCCAGGUUGUCCCACAGACUUGCUUUGUGAAUAUGGAUAAGUCACAUAAAUAAAAAUUUGAAAACCUGGAUGUCCAAAGUUAAGUCAUUAGGGCAUGAAUUUCAGAGCCGUGGAGCACCUAUAUUUCCUAAUAAAAUCAGUAGGAUUUUGAGGAAGAUCGGCGUCUCUGAAAAUUAGACCGCUUUUAGACAACUGCCCAAGUAUGGCAGCUAGGGUUUCCAAUUUUGGUUGGCUGUUUUCCUGGAGAUUUCAUCACAUGACAUAAUCUUUAAUUAAAGAUGAAUCUUUAAUUCCUGGAGACUCCAGGCCAAUCCUGGAGGGUUGGCAAUCCUAAACUGGCAGAUACAUUUGAAAAUGCUGGCCUUAAUCUCUCCGUAUCUCACCCUCCCCGUUUGAAACAUGAGGAUAAUGAUGAUCUGGUGCAGUUUACUUCAUUAAUCUCUAAAAUUCUUCUACCUGAUUAUUAACUAUUACAGCUCCUGUUGGUAUCUCCUUCCAACUGAAAUCAGUUUGCUACUUUUACACAUGUAUUCUCCCAAGUUUCUCACAUUUCUGUUGGGCAUUUGGAUAUAUAUUUGAAUAUAAACCCUUGUCUGCCUCUACUUUAUCUAAAUAAUUCUUCAACUGCCCAUCACCUGAAUUUUUACUUUGGUGCUUUCCUGAUUCAGAUCCAACUCUAACAUCACGACAUUGGCUCAUCUCUAGACUAUAUGGGAUGUGGGAGAUGCAAGCUUUCCUUAGCUCUUGAUGCUGAAUAUUUAUCUAAAUAUCUUUAUAUUAAUUUUCACAAACAUUUUUUUUAAAUCAAGAAAGUGAACACUCAUGAUGCCUCUGCUUUCAAAAGCCCGUGCUGUUUGCAUUUUCAGGCAUGUUGUUGAGUCAUGUUGAUUGAGAAUGAAUGAAAAAACAGAGCCAGCCUAUUAGCUGACUUAGUUGGUUGCUAUUCACAUUAAUGGAAAUGCCUCGGUACAUGCCCAUUAAGAAUGAUCAGAAGGUGAAAAGUGUUUCCUCUGCUUCUCAUCUCUGGCAAUUUGAAAAAUGAAAUGUCCACCGACUGGUGUUUUAGCCUUCACAGUCUCCAAAUGAAAAUGCUGUCAUGCAAGGGAGAAAGUUCUAUCUGGAACACACUCAGGAAUCUGACCAUCACACUCCAUGGUAGGUUCAGAUGGAGCCCUUCUUAACAGGUGCCCUGGCAUGGAUAAUAUUUAUCACUGACAGCAGCAGCUACAUUCCUACUGCUACAAACAGCAAAUAGCUUCCUGACAUUGCACCAAGGCAACAAAGGAAAUACAGGAGGGCACAUAGCUGGUUUUCUAAAGAUCUGAUUUGUUUUGUGUUUUCUGCAUAAUUUGUUUAUUUAAAGCAGCUGGCAUCAUGUGACUUUAUGGAUACAAGACAAAAAUAUUGCUAAAAUUUAUAUUACUGUUAUGCCUGAAGGUCCCACCUAACCAAUACCCAUUGUGCAAGGUGUAACAGUAAACACUCCUCAGGCAGACAAAAGUACCAUCAUUAUCCCCAGUCUUCAUAUGUGUAACAGAGGUACAAAGCAGUUAAGUGACUUGCCCAAGAUCACACAGGAAUAGCCAGGGACUGAAUCCAGAUUUCCUGAGUUCCAGCCCACUGCCUUAAUCACCAGAUAAGUCUUCCUUCCUUGGAAAGCAUUUGAAUUUAUGAAACCACUUGUCCUGAUUUACUGGGAAAGCCUUGCAGAAUGACUCUCCCCACUACAAAGAAUUGAAAUCCUGACAAAGAAAGACAACAGGCCUUUGUUAGACUGAACACACCUAUCAAGGCGCUGCUGCAAUAGAAAUGCUUUUAAAAAAAUGAAGCACAGGUUGGGGUUUUGUAGCACAUGUUUCAGCUUUGCUGCAGUGAAAAUGAAUGGUGGCGAAGAACUAUUUGAGGGAUGUAAAACAAGGAUGCUGCCAUUGAGAAAACAUCUGCUACUUGUCAGCUGCCUUUUAGACAACAGGAAAUGGCUAAUAAAGUACUCAAAUGAUUUCA